CUGCACACCUUAACAUGGUGAAUUUUAUGGUACGUAAAUUACAUCUCAAUAACAUUAAAAAAAAAAAAAAAGCAGCAGCAGAUGGCUGCUGGAGGAGGCUGAGCUUAAAUACCCCUGGUUACACUUCCUCCUUUCCUUGUAUUUACUGGAAGGAGAAGGAUUUGUCCUAAGAUGAAUACUUUUUUCAUCUUCAGAAAUUCCUGACAAGCUACUACCCUGUCAAGGCAUGAAAAAUUUGAUUAGUGCUGACUUGGUACACAGUCUAUUAAUUAGUACCUAAAUAAUUGCAUGUUGCCUCUGUGUCAUGAUUUAUAAUUGUAUGCAUGCUUUGAUCUUUCUCAUCACAGGCAGCACUGAGAAGUGAAGGAAUAUUUGGGAGGAUCAGAAGCUUGGUCCUGAUUUUGCCAUCAACAGGAACUUGAUGACUUCAAGGGAGUCCCCAAACCCUGGGUUUCUGUUUUCUCAACUCUAACAUGAGGGGCUAGAUGCAUCUGGUUUAGUUAGUCUCCAUGAUGGUUUAGUUCGUCUCCAUGAUCCUGUGAAUUUCAGAUGUUGAAAAUCUUUGGAAAAGCCCUGAAAGAUGAACAGUGGUCUCAAAUAGUCAAGACCCCCUGCUGGGAGGAGCUAUCCUGCUCUUUGGAAGAAAUGGGCAUGCCAGAUGCCUG
rnacentral:antisense_RNA from 1 species